CCCCUUUCCACCGUCCCCCCGCGCGCCUAUACCGGUCGGGCCGGGCUUGCCCGGCUAUGGUGAUAAACGAUGCCGUGAAAUAGGCGCAGCGGACCCGGGGGCAGUACCCGGCGGCUCCACCAUCAAUCCCGCCCGCGGGCUUGCUGAUGGGGCCGAACCAGGAUCGACGUGUGUUCAAAGACGGUAUUUUUGCCCGGCCUGAUUGAGCCGUAAAACCGAUCAAAACCACAAGUGCCAACGACAACGAGGCGCUCGCGAUUGCUGCCUAACCCAAGUCCUCACGGAUUAGGUUAGACUGACAAAAGCGCGGUCCGGGCCGCACCGGGCAACAGAAGCGGACACC
rnacentral:tmRNA from 1 species